UGUGGGGUAGAGCAGUAGGUAGCUCGCCAGGCUCAUAACCUGGAGGUCGUAAUAAACGGUUCAAAUCCUACCCCCGCAA
rnacentral:tRNA from 1 species